AUAUUAGUUGUAAAAUAACUCGAGUAUAGAUAGCGCCACACGUUUCCGUAACUGUCCUUUUACUGGCGGUACAAUAAUCAAGCAAAAUGACGGAGGGUACAGUUACGAUUAGAACCAGAAAAUUCAUGAGCAAUCGGCUAUUAUGCCGAAAACAAAUGGUUGUAGAUGUUUUUCAUCCAAGCCAUCCAUCAGUUCGUAAAACUGAAAUACGUGAAAAACUAGCCAAAAUGUACAAAGUUACUCCAGAUGUAGUUUUUGUUUUUGGCUUCCAAACCAACUUUGGUGGUGGUAAAUCUACUGGAUUUGCACUGGUCUACGACACAUUAGACUUUGCUAAGAAAUUUGAACCUAAAUAUAGGUUAGCAAGGCAUGGACUAUAUGAGAAACAAAAGCAAACAAGGAAACAGCGUAAAGAACGUAAGAACAGGAUGAAGAAAGUUAGGGGUACAAAGAAGAGUAAAGUUGGAGCUGCAUCUAAAAAGGGAAGGAAGUAGACAAAUGCUCAUCAUUUGUACUACAAGCCUCAAGAAGGAACUUAAUUAUGAUGCUCAUACAUGUAAAACUACAAGACAUCACGAGGACCACGCUUUGUGUGACAUCGACGUAAAAAUUAUUAUAAUAAUUUAUUACCAUAGAAUGAUUAUGAUAAGUUUUACGGAAUAAACGUGUACUCUUCUUGAUGAAAAAAAAAAAA